AUUCCAUACCACCCUGAAUGUGCCCAAGUCUCAUCUGAUCUCGGAAGGUAACCAGGGUUGGGCCUGGUCAUUACUUAGAUGGGAGUACUAUAUAUUUCACAAAGCUAUAAGGAAGGAUU
rnacentral:rRNA from 1 species